rnacentral:rRNA from 1 species
GCAUAUCAAUAAGCGGAGGAAAAGAAACUAMCAAGGAUUCCCCUAGUAACUGCGAGUGAAGCGGGAAAAGCUCAAAUUUAAAAUCUGGCGGUCUUUGGCCGUCCGAGUUGUAAUUUAGAGAAGCGACUUCCGCGCCGGACCGUGCACAAGUCUCCUGGAAUGGAGCGUCAUAGAGGGUGAGAAUCCCGUCUUUGGCACGGAGCCCCCGGGGCUCUGCGAUGCGCUCUCGAAGAGUCGAGUUGUUUGGGAAUGCAGCUCAAAAUGGGUGGUGAACUCCAUCUAAAGCUAAACAUUGGCGAGAGACCGAUAGCGAACAAGUACCGUGAGGGAAAGAUGAAAAGCACUUUGGAAAGAGAGUGAAACAGUACGUGAAAUUGUUGAAAGGGAAACGCUUGGGGUCAGUCGCGUYGACCGAGACUCAGCCUCGCCUCGGCUUGGUGUACUUCUCGGCCGACGGGCCAGCAUCAAUUUCGUCCCUCGGAUAAUGGCAAGGGAAAGGUGGCACCCUCACGGGUGUGUUAUAGUCUCCUGUCGCAUGCGAGGGGUGGGAUUGAGGAACUCAGCACGCACCUUUGGGUGUCGGGGCUUCGGCCCACGCUUACGUGCUUAGGAUGUUGGCGUAAUGGUUCCAAACGACCCGUCU